rnacentral:rRNA from 1 species
UACGUAGGGGGCUAGCGUUGUCCGGAAUCAUUGGGCGUAAAGCGCGUGUAGGCGGCCCGGAAAGUCUGAUGUGAAAACUGGAGGCUCAACCUCCAGCUGUCAUUGGAUACUGCCGGGCUUGAAUACGGAAGAGGCGAGUGGAAUUCCUGGUGUAGCGGUGGAAUGCGCAGAUAUCAGGAGGAACACCUAUGGCGAAGGCGGCUCACUGGCCCGAUACUGACGCUGAGGCACGAAAGCGUGGGGAGCAAACAGG